rnacentral:sRNA from 1 species
UAACGGAUUUUAUUUUAUUAGGGUCUGG